CACGUAGGGCGCAAGCGUUGUCCGGAAUUAUUGGGCGUAAAGAGCUCGUAGGCGGCUUGUUGCGUCGGAUGUGAAAGCCCGGGGCUUAACUCCGGGUCUGCAUUCGAUACGGGCAGGCUAGAGUUCGGUAGGGGAGAUCGGAAUUCCUGGUGUAGCGGUGAAAUGCGCAGAUAUCAGGAGGAACACCGGUGGCGAAGGCGGAUCUCUGGGCCGAUACUGACGCUGAGGCGCGAAAGCGUGGGGAGCAAACAGG
rnacentral:rRNA from 1 species